ACUCAAAGGAAUUGACGGGGGCCCGCACAAGCGGUGGAGCAUGUGGUUUAAUUCGAUGCAACGCGAAGAACCUUACCUACUCUUGACAUCCAGGGAAUUCUGCAGAGAUGCGGAAGUGCCGAAAGGAACCCUGAGACAGGUGCUGCAUGGCUGUCGUCAGCUCGUGUUGUGAGAUGUUGGGUUAAGUCCCGUAACGAGCGCAACCCUUAUCCUUAGUUGCCAACACGUCAUGGUGGGGACUCUAAGGGGACUGCUGGUGAAGAACCGGAGGAAGGCGGGGACGACGUCAAGUCAUCAUGGCCUUUAUGAGUAGGGCAACACACGUGCUACAAUGGGAAACACAGAGGGAAGCCAACCUGCGAAGGGGAGCCAAUCUCAGAAAAUUUCUCGUAGUCCGGAUUGGAGUCUGCAACUCGACUCCAUGAAGUUGGAAUCGCUAGUAAUCGCGAAUCAGAACGUCGCGGUGAAUACGUUCCCGGGCCUUGUACACACCGCCCGU
rnacentral:rRNA from 1 species